CGGCCUGAGGUCGGACGAGGCUACCCGCUGAAUUUAAGCAUAUUACUAAGCGGAGGAAAAGAAACUAACGAGGAUUCCCUCAGUAACGGCGAGUGAAGCGGGACGAGCCCAGCGCCGAAUCCGGCCGCUUAUGGGAGCGGACGGAAUUGUGGCGUAUGGAAUUCGCUUCGAGCGCGGACCGGCUGCCCACGUCCUUCUGAUCG
rfam:Ciona savignyi cont_48796, whole genome shotgun sequence.